rnacentral:tmRNA from 1 species
GGGGGCGACUGGUUUCGACGUGUUGGUUGAAGCUGCAGUUGCGCGCCGAGGAUUCCGGUUGGCCUCGUAAAAAAUCCGGAAAAACAACAUAAAGGCCAACGAAGAAUUGGCUCUCGCGGCCUAAUUAAGCCGUGACGUCUCGCCGCUGAUAUCUGCUAGGCGGAGUGAGGCGACGACAGCAGGUUAGCCAGUAGCUGGGUGGCCGGGAUUACUGGUGAAACACUUUCGUGGCCGCUGGCUGUUGCAAUGGCCUGUCAACCGGCAGUUGCAAUGGCGAGAACUAAUGGUUGGACACGCGCGUAGAUGCUGUAGUGACUCCAUCGCGGACGGGGGUUCAAUUCCCCCCGCCUCCACCA